UUUUCUCUUGUCAUUCCUAAUG
rnacentral:miRNA from 1 species